rnacentral:rRNA from 1 species
UACGGAGGAUGCAAGCGUUAUCCGGAAUGAUUGGGCGUAAAGCGUCCGCAGGUGGCUAUGUAAGUCUGCUGUUAAAGAGUGAGGCUCAACCUCAUAAGAGCAGUGGAAACUACAUGGCUAGAGUGCGUUCGGGGCAGAGGGAAUUCCUGGUGUAGCGGUGAAAUGCGUAGAUAUCAGGAAGAACACCGGUGGCGAAAGCGCUCUGCUAGGCCGCAACUGACACUGAGGGACGAAAGCUAGGGGAGCGAAAGGG